GCCGCCGUAGCUCAGUUGGUAGAGCACCUCGCUGUUAGCACGAGGUGGUCCCAGGUUCGAGUCCUGGCGGCGGCG
rnacentral:tRNA from 1 species